rnacentral:rRNA from 1 species
AUUGAACGCUGGCGGCAGGCCUAACACAUGCAAGUCGAACGGAGCGGCGGACGGGUGAGUAAUGCCUAGGAAUCUGCCUGGUAGUGGGGGAUAACGUCCAGAACCGGGCGCUAAUACCGCAUACUAUCAGAUGAGCCUAGGUCGGAUUAGCUAGAUGGGGGGGUAAAGGCCUACCAAGGCGACGAUCCGUAACUGGUCUGAGAGGAGGAUGAGACACACGGGAACGGAGACAGGGUCCAGAUCCCUCGGGAGGGAAGCAUGGGGAAUUAUUGACCAAUGGGCGAAGGCUGGUGCAGCCAUGCCGCGUGUGUGAAGAAGGUCUUCGGAUUGUAAAGCACUUUAAGCUGGGAGGCGUUACCAACAGAAUAAGCACCGGCUAACUCCGUGCCAGCAGCCGCGGUAAUAC